UCCGAUAUAGUGUAACAGCUAGCACAGUUCGCUUUCACCGAGCCAACCCGGGUUAGGCUCCCGGUAUCAGAG